UGUGUGUGAGUCUCUGGACUUUUUUUCUGUAUUUCAGCCCCUCCAGUUCAACUCUGCCACCUGGACUGGUUCGCCUUGCAACCAAACAGUUGAACUGGCAAUUGGUGCUGGCAAGGUGAUACCAUCAAUUUUUGACAUACAGUAUAAAAGAUUUUCACCCACACCUCAUUGACUCUGCAUUCCUAAAGUGUAUACUGUGUUUCACCAAAAAAAUCAUUGUAUUUUUGCCCCUAAUUUAGACUUUAUAGUUGUUUUAUGUUAAUUUUAACUGCAGCAACACUGUUUUCUUGGAUUUUCAAGAAAUCAUUCGUUUGUGUGCUUUGGUUCUUGUGAGAUAUCCAAAUUUAAUUAAACGUCUUAUUGUGGGUGCAAGCCAUGUAAUCUCAAUUAAACUCAUUUUUUCCUUCACUUUUCCACUUGUUCCUGCCAGUUAUCUAGUUAUGCAAUACAAGCAGAGACAGUGAGCUUUAAUUAGCUAUUGAUUUCCAGAUGGAAGACAACAUUCUCUGUGUUAGAAAUGUUUAUUUUUGGCCCCGCGUUUGCUUACACAGUCAUUCUGUCGUCUUUUCACCCAUUUUGUUUGUUUAUUUAUUUCUUUUUUUCUCCAUCCAGUAAUGGGAAGCUCCUGGCUGUGGUUCAGGACCAGUGCGUGGAAAUUAGGUCAGCUAGAGAUGACUUUGGAUCCAUCAAAGGAAAAUGCCAAGAAUGUGAUGUUUUAUAUGUACCAGAUAUAUGUGUGUUCUGUGGUGUAACUCUGAUGGGAACGAUUUCCUCGUCUCUACAUGUAAGAGUCGGUGCAUAGACAUUCUCAGUCGUUCAUGAAAAAGUCAUCUGUGCGUAAUGUAUCUCUUUUUAUGAAUGAAGUGUGAGUUAAGAGCAUCUGACGAGAAAGAAAAACAAUCAGUGAUAUGCAUCUAUAGCAAAAUAAAACUGAUUUAUGCUGUCAGUUAUGUCUAUGAAACAUCAUUUGCUACUUUCUAGUCAGUUGCAGAUAGGCAGGAGAUUAGGGUCAAUGGUAUCUAUUCUAAAUAUAAAAAUCAUUUAUAUAAAAAUACUGAUAACCAGUAAAUGGCUGAUAUUGAAACUUGAAAC
rnacentral:lncRNA from 1 species